rnacentral:rRNA from 1 species
UACAGAGGGUGCGAGCGUUGUUCGGAAUUAUUGGGCGUAAAGCGCGCGCAGGCGGUCCUUUAAGUCCGAUGUGAAAGCCCACGGCUCAACCGUGGAGGGUCAUUGGAAACUGGGGGACUUGAGUACAGAAGAGGAAAGUGGAAUUCCACGUGUAGCGGUGAAAUGCGUAGAGAUGUGGAGGAACACCAGUGGCGAGGGCGACUUUCUGGUCUGUAACUGACGCUGAGGCGCGAAAGCGUGGGGAGCAAACAGG